rnacentral:rRNA from 1 species
GAUGAACGCUAGCGGCAGGCCUAAUACAUGCAAGUCGGACGGGAUUUGGGAGCUUGCUCCUAAUGAGAGUGGCGCACGGGUGCGUAACACGUAUGUAACCUACCUUAAUCAGGGGGAUAGCCUCUCGAAAGAGAGAUUAACACCGCAUAAUAUAUUUUUAUCGCAUCGUAGAAAUAUCAAAUAUUUAUAGGAUUAAGAUGGGCAUGCGGAACAUUAUCUAGUUGGUAAGGUAACGGCUUACCAAGGCUACCAUGUUUAGGGGAUCUGAGAGGAUGACCCCACACACUGGUACGGAGACACGGACCAGACUCCGACGGGAGGCAGCAGUAAGGAAUAUUGGUCAAUGGGCGCAAGCCUGAACCAGCCAUGCCGCGUGCAGGAAGACGGCGCUAUGGGUUGUAAACUGCUUUUGUACCGGAAUAAACCCUUUUACGUGUAGAAGGCUGAAUGUACGGUAAGAAUAAGGAUCGGCUAACUCCGUGCCAGCCGCCGCAGUAA